GUGCGUUUCUGAAGUUCCUCAAGCUCCUUCAUGAAGUCGUCCUUCUUCCGGGUGUAGUCCAUGAAGCCCUUUUUGUGGAGAUCCUGAAGGCGAGUAACCUCCAUGGUGGCUUCCGAAUGGCUCUUCCUCAGCCUGCAAAGUUCGUCGUCCAUCUCCUUGAUUUCUUCGUUAGGUGACGAACUUCCUUUCUGAGAUCCCAGAUCA
rnacentral:lncRNA from 1 species